rnacentral:rRNA from 2 species
UACAUGCAAGUCGAACGAACUCUGGUAUUGAUUGGUGCUUGCAUCAUGAUUUACAUUUGAGUGAGUGGCGAACUGGUGAGUAACACGUGGGAAACCUGCCCAGAAGCGGGGGAUAACACCUGGAAACAGAUGCUAAUACCGCAUAACAACUUGGACCGCAUGGUCCGAGCUUGAAAGAUGGCUUCGGCUAUCACUUUUGGAUGGUCCCGCGGCGUAUUAGCUAGAUGGUGGGGUAACGGCUCACCAUGGCAAUGAUACGUAGCCGACCUGAGAGGGUAAUCGGCCACAUUGGGACUGAGACACGGCCCAAACUCCUACGGGAGGCAGCAGUAGGGAAUCUUCCACAAUGGACGAAAGUCUGAUGGAGCAACGCCGCGUGAGUGAAGAAGGGUUUCGGCUCGUAAAACUCUGUUGUUAAAGAAGAACAUAUCUGAGAGUAACUGUUCAGGUAUUGACGGUAUUUAACCAGAAAGCCACGGCUAACUACGUGCCAGCAGCCGCGGUAAUACGUAGGUGGCAAAGCGUUGUCCGGAUUUAUUGGGCGUAAAGCGAGCGCAGGCGGUUUUUUAAGUCUGAUGUGAAAGCCUUCGGCUCAACCGAAGAAGUGCAUCGGAAACUGGGAAACUUGAGUGCAGAAGAGGACAGUGGAACUCCAUGUGUAGCGGUGAAAUGCGUAGAUAUAUGGAAGAACACCAGUGGCGAAGGCGGCUGUCUGGUCUGUAACUGACGCUGAGGCUCGAAAGUAUGGGUAGCAAACAGGAUUAGAUACCCUGGUAGUCCAUACCGUAAACGAUGAAUGCUAAGUGUUGGAGGGUUUCCGCCCUUCAGUGCUGCAGCUAACGCAUUAAGCAUUCCGCCUGGGGAGUACGGCCGCAAGGCUGAAACUCAAAGGAAUUGACGGGGGCCCGCACAAGCGGUGGAGCAUGUGGUUUAAUUCGAAGCUACGCGAAGAACCUUACCAGGUCUUGACAUACUAUGCAAAUCUAAGAGAUUAGACGUUCCCUUCGGGGACAUGGAUACAGGUGGUGCAUGGUUGUCGUCAGCUCGUGUCGUGAGAUGUUGGGUUAAGUCCCGCAACGAGCGCAACCCUUAUUAUCAGUUGCCAGCAUUAAGUUGGGCACUCUGGUGAGACUGCCGGUGACAAACCGGAGGAAGGUGGGGAUGACGUCAAAUCAUCAUGCCCCUUAUGACCUGGGCUACACACGUGCUACAAUGGAUGGUACAACGAGUUGCGAACUCGCGAGAGUAAGCUAAUCUCUUAAAGCCAUUCUCAGUUCGGAUUGUAGGCUGCAACUCGCCUACAUGAAGUCGGAAUCGCUAGUAAUCGCGGAUCAGCAUGCCGCGGUGAAUACGUUCCCGGGCCUUGUACACACCGCCCGUCACACCAUGAGAGUUUGUAACACCCAAAGUCGGUGGGG